AACGAACGCUGGCGGCAUGCCUAACACAUGCAAGUCGAACGAGACCUUCGGGUCUAGUGGCGCACGGGUGCGUAACGCGUGGGAACCUGCCCUUAGGUUCGGAAUAACUCCCCGAAAGGGGUGCUAAUACCGGAUAAUGUCUUCGGACCAAAGAUUUAUCGCCUUUGGAUGGGCCCGCGUUGGAUUAGCUAGUUGGUAGGGUAAAAGCCUACCAAGGCGACGAUCCAUAGCUGGUCUGAGAGGAUGAUCAGCCACACUGGGACUGAGACACGGCCCAGACUCCUACGGGAGGCAGCAGUGGGGAAUAUUGGACAAUGGGGGAAAGGAUGAUCCAGCAAGGCCGCGUGAGUGAUGAAGGCCUUAGGGUUGAAAAGCUCUUUUACCCGGGAUGAUAAUGACAGUACCGGGAGAAUAAGCUCCGGCUAACUCCGUG
rnacentral:rRNA from 1 species